GACGAACGCUGGCGGCGUGCUUAACACAUGCAAGUCGAACGAAGUGGCGAACGGGUGAGUAACGCGUAAUCAACCUGCCCUUCAGAGGGGGACAACAGUUGGAAACGACUGCUAAUACCGCAUACCAUCGGAUGUGCCCAGAUGGGAUUAGCUAGUAGGUGGGGUAAAGGCUCACCUAGGCGAUGAUCAGUAGCCGGUCUGAGAGGAUGAACGGCAACAUUGGGACUGGGAAACGGCCCAGACUCCUACGGGAGGCAGCAGUGGGGAAUCUUCCGCAAUGGACGAAAGUCUGACGGAGCAACGCCGCGGGAGUGAUGACGGCCUUCGGGUUGGAAAGCUCUGUUAAUCGGGACGCGGUACCGGAAUAGAAAGCCACGGCUAACUACGUGCCAGCAGCCGCGGUAAUUC
rnacentral:rRNA from 1 species